AAUGUACCUUUCUUGGCUGAUCCCUUUCGCUGUAUGGCGUGCUCGUUUGGGUUGGGCGUCGGCUAAGAGUGCUCGGAGCGUGGAUUAACUCCAGUCUCCUAUCAGUUAAGUUUGAGUGACAGGUGGUGGUUAUCGUAGGCGAUUUAUUUUGGAAAUGUUUCAACUUCAACCCAUAACAGUUGGAUUCACAACGGAUAUGGGGUAGGAAGGUAUUUGGAACGUUCUUCAAUGAGUAGAUCUCUUGUGAGGAUUAAAGGCUACCGAUCGAGGAGUGUGUGAAAAGCUUGGAUCAUCGGAGUGACUAAAUCUAGUCAUCAACUUCGGCAAAGGACAAAUCGCAUAGGAGAUCUCGUCAAGGAAUAUCGCAAAUCAGGUGAGCCUUGAUGUGGGGACUUGGGCGGAAGGAUUCAGAGUAGCCACGGUGAUCGUCUUUUGGCUUUUAAACAAGCGUUGGUUUUCAUUAAAUUUCCUUUAAUUAUUAUUUAUUUUUGGGUUGUAAUAAGGCCAUUUUAACUUUUCUUUUAUUUCUUCUCGGGAUUAUUUUAUUUUUAAUAACUUCAAACCUGGUUGAUAAUUGUUCAAAUGGGCUAGACUUAGGACGUGUUUUCAAAA